rnacentral:tRNA from 1 species
GGUACUAGCUCAAUGGUAGAGUGCAUGCCUAGCAUGCAUGAGGUCCCAGGUUCAAUUCCCAAUACCU